rnacentral:rRNA from 1 species
AGGAAAAGAAACCAACAGGGAUUGCCUCAGUAACGGCGAGUGAAGCGGCAACAGCUCAAAUUUGAAAGCUGGCUCUUGCAGGGUCCGCGUUGUAAUUUGUAGAGGAUGCUUCGGGUGCGGUGCCGGUCUAAGUUCCUUGGAACAGGACGUCAUAGAGGGUGAGAAUCCCGUAUGUGACUGGUGGCCUGCGCCCGUGUGAAGCUCCUUCGACGAGUCGAGUUGUUUGGGAAUGCAGCUCUAAAUGGGUGGUGUACUUCAUCUAAAGCUAAAUAUUGGGUCUAGACCGAUAGCGCACAAGUAGAGUGAUCGAAAGAUGAAAAGCACUUUGGAAAGAGAGUUAAACAGUACGUGAAAUUGUUGAAAGGGAAGCGCUUGCAAUCAGACUUGCGCUGCGUCGAUCAACCUGGGUUCUCCCUGGUGCACUCGGCGCCGCGCAGGCCAGCAUCAGUUCUGGCGGUUGGAUAAAGGCCCAGAGAACGUGGGUCGCUUCGGCGAUCGUUAUAGCUCUGGGUGCAAUGCAGCCCGCCGGGACUGAGGACCGCGCUUCGGCUAGGAUGCUGGCGUAAUGAUUGUAAGCGACCCGUC